rnacentral:rRNA from 1 species
AGCACCUAAACGGCGAAACUGCGAAUGGCUCAUUAAAUCAGUUAUCGUAUAUUUGAUAGUACCUACUACAUGGAUAACCGUGGUAAUUCUAGAGCUAAUACAUGCUUAAAACCCCGACUUCGGAAGGGGUGUAUUUAUUAGAUUAAAAACCAAUGCCCUUCGGGGCUCACUGGUGAUUCAUAAUAACUUCUCGAAUCGCAUGGCCUUGUGCCGGCGAUGGUUCAUUCAAAUUUCUGCCCUAUCAACUUUCGACGGCUGGGUCUUGGCCAGCCGUGGUUACAACGGGUAACGGAGGGUUAGGGCUUGACCCCGGAGAAGGAGCCUGAGAAACGGCUACUACAUCCAAGGAAGGCAGCAGGCGCGCAAAUUACCCAAUCCCGACUCGGGGAGGUAGUGACAAUAAAUACUGAUACAGGGCUCUUUUGGGUCUUGUAAUUGGAAUGAGUACAAUUUAAAUCCCUUAACGAGGAACAAUUGGAGGGCAAGUCUGGUGCCAGCAGCCGCGGUAAUUCCAGCUCCAAUAGCGUAUAUUAAAGUUGUUGCAGUUAAAAAGCUCGUAGUUGAACCUUGGGCCUGGCUGGCCGGUCUGCCUCACCGCAUGCACUGGUCCGGCCGGGCCUUUCCCUCUGGGGAGCCGCAUGCCCUUCACUGGGUGUGUCGGGGAACCAGGACUUUUACUGUGAAAAAAUUAGAGUGUUCAAAGCAGGCAUAUGCUCGAAUACAUUAGCAUGGAAUAAUAGAAUAGGACGUCGCGGUUCUAUUUUGUUGGUUUCUAGGACCGCCGUAAUGAUUAAUAGGGACAGUCGGGGGCAUCAGUAUUCAAUCGUCAGAGGUGAAAUUCUUGGAUCGAUUGAAGACUAACUACUGCGAAAGCAUUUGCCAAGGAUGUUUUCAUUAAUCAGGAACGAAAGUUAGGGGAUCGAAAACGAUCAGAUACCGUUGUAGUCUUAACCAUAAACUAUGCCGACUAGGGAUCGGGCGGUGUUAUUUCUUGACCCGCUCGGCACCUUACACGAAAGUAAAGUUUUUGGGUUCUGGGGGGAGUAUGGUCGCAAGGCUGAAACUUAAAGAAAUUGACGGAAGGGCACCACAAGGGGUGGAGCCUGCGGCUUAAUUUGACUCAACACGGGGAAACUCACCAGGUCCAGACACAACUAGGAUUGACAGAUUGAGAGCUCUUUCUUGAUUUUGUGGGUGGUGGUGCAUGGCCGUUCUUAGUUGGUGGAGUGAUUUGUCUGCUUAAUUGCGAUAACGAACGAGACCUUAACCUGCUAAAUAGCCCGUGCCGCCUAGGCGGCACGCCGGCUUCUUAGA